GUUUGAUCAUGGCUCAGGACGAACGCUGGCGGCGUGCUUAACACAUGCAAGUCGAACGAUGAAGCUGGAGCUUGCUCCGGUGGAUUAGUGGCGAACGGGUGAGUAACACGUGAGCAAUCUGCCCUUGACUCUGGGAUAACUGCGGGAAACUGUAGCUAAUACCGGAUACGACGCCUGGAGGCAUCUCCGGGCGUGGAAAGAAUUUUGGUCAAGGAUGAGCUCGCGGCCUAUCAGCUAGUUGGUGAGGUAAUGGCUCACCAAGGCGACGACGGGUAGCCGGCCUGAGAGGGUGACCGGCCACACUGGAACUGAGACACGGUCCAGACUCCUACGGGAGGCAGCAGUGGGGAAUAUUGCACAAUGGGCGAAAGCCUGAUGCAGCAACGCCGCGUGAGGGAUGAAGGCCUUCGGGUUGUAAACCUCUUUUAGUUGGGAAGAAGCGAAAGUGACGGUACCAACAGAAAAAGCACCGGCUAACUACGUGCCAGCAGCCGCGGUAAUACGUAGGGUGCAAGCGUUGUCCGGAAUUAUUGGGCGUAAAGAGCUCGUAGGCGGUUUGUCGCGUCUGCUGUGAAAAUCCGAGGCUCAACCUCGGACCUGCAGUGGGUACGGGCAGACUAGAGUGCGGUAGGGGAGAAGGGAAUUCCUGGUGUAGCGGUGGAAUGCGCAGAUAUCAGAGGAACACCAAUGGCGAAAGCACUUCUCUGGGCCGUAACUGACGCUGAGAGCGAAAGCGUGGGGAGCGAACAGGAUUAGAUACCCUGGUAGUCCACGCCGUAAACGUGGGUGCUAGUGUGGGUCACAUUUCCACGUGAUCCGUGACGCAGCUAACGCAUUAAGCACCCCGGCUGGGGAGUACNGUCGCAGGACUAAACUCAAAGGAAUUGACCGGNNCGCACAGCAGCGGAGCAUGCGGAUUA
rnacentral:rRNA from 1 species